rnacentral:misc_RNA from 1 species
UGUGGCCAGGAUGACAGAGGCAG